GCGGCGGGCCGUGACUGGCGCGCUGGACCCCGACCAGGGGGUCCGAGGAUGGGACGGACCAUCGGGGAGCGGCCCGGCGAAUGAACUGUGCCGUGCGCCUGGGCCGUACCG
rnacentral:ncRNA from 2 species